AGAAAGGUUAGAGGUUGCGGGUGCUAAAAGUCACCGUCUGGAGAUAGUAAAGCGAUCUAUGAAUGACGGUAAAAGGAGUACUCGCCGAAGUGACACGUAGCUUUAUGACAUGUCGCUGGGUCUUAGUUUAAUAAGCUGAGAACCACUGCUUUUUGUUUGACAAAAGCGAAAGCGCUACCGUACGG
rfam:Lactobacillus saerimneri 30a contig00019, whole genome shotgun sequence.